rnacentral:rRNA from 1 species
GAUGAACGCUGGCGGCGUGCCUAAUACAUGCAAGUCGAGCGAACGGACGAGAAGCUUGCUUCUCUGAUGUUAGCGGCGGACGGGUGAGUAACACGUGGGUAACCUACCUAUAAGACUGGGAUAACUUCGGGAAACCGGAGCUAAUACCGGAUGAUAUUUUGAACCGCAUGGUUCAAAAGUGAAAGACGGUCUUGCUGUCACUUAUAGAUGGAUCCGCGCUGCAUUAGCUAGUUGGUAAGGUAACGGCUUACCAAGGCAACGAUGCAUAGCCGACCUGAGAGGGUGGUCGGCCCCACUGGAACUGAGACACGGUCCAGACUCCUACGGGAGGCCGCAGUAGGGAAUCUUCCGCAAUGGGCGAAAGCCUGACGGAGCAACGCCGCGUGAGUGAUGAAGGUCUUCGGAUCGUAAAACUCUGUUAUUAGGGAAGAACAUAUGUGUAAGUAACUGUGCACAUCUUGACGGUACCUAAUCAGAAAGCCACGGCUAACUACGUG